rnacentral:rRNA from 1 species
GAUGAACGCUGGCGGCGUGCUUAACACAUGCAAGUCGAGCGAACAGAUUUGGAGCUUGCUCCUCUUACGUUAGCGGCGGACGGGUGAGUAACACGUGGAUAACCUACCCAUAAGACUGGGAUAACUCCGGGAAACCGGAGCUAAUACCGGAUACUAUAUUUAACCGCAUGGUUCAAUAUUGAAAGACGGUUUUGCUGUCACUUAUAGAUGGAUCCCCGCCGAAUUAGCUAGUUGGUAAGGUAACGGCUUAGCAAGGCAACGAUGCGUAGCCGACCUGAUAGAGGGAUCGGCGACACGGGAAGGGAAACACGGUCAAGACUCCUAAGGGAGGCAGCAGUAGGGAAUGUUACGCAAUGGGGGAAAGCCUGACGGAGCAAGGCAGCGUGAGUGAUGAAGGUGUUGGGAUCGUAAAAAUCGGUUAUUAGGGAAGAACAAAUUUGUGAGUAAAUAUAGAAGUAUUGACGGUACCUGAACAGAAAGCCACGGCUAACUACGUG